rnacentral:lncRNA from 1 species
ACCUAUUGAUGCACAUGGACAUGAUGACUCUCUAGCGUUUAUGGACCAACCAACCUAUAAUCAUGGACCUUAUUGUCUUGUAGACCAUUUGGUGUUUCGAGUGUUUUGGAGUUUGCACUUUGUGCAUGUAGAUACAAACUUGUGUGUUCUGGACCAUCUGAAGUCUCUCAUAGUAACCAAUAGUCCUUAUCUUUUUGUG